CAGUAGCCGCGGGAAUACAGAGGGUGCAAGCGUUAAUCGGAAUUACUGGGCGUAAAGCGCGCGUUGGUGGUUUGUUAAGUUGGAUGUGAAAGCCCCGGGCUCAACCUGGGAACUGCAUCCAAAACUGGCAAGCUAGAGUACGGUAGAGGGUGGUGGAAUUUCCUGUGUAGCGGUGAAAUGCGUAGAUAUAGGAAGGAACACCAGUGGCGAAGGCGACCACCUGGACUGAUACUGACACUGAGGUGCGAAAGCGUGGGGAGCAAACAGGAUUAGAUACCCGCGUGUCCCUGUCUCUUAUACA
rnacentral:rRNA from 1 species